GUCAGGAUGGCCGAGUGGUCUAAGGCGCCAGACUCAAGUUCUGGUCUUCGUUAGAGGGCGUGGGUUUAAAUCCCACUUCUGACA